rnacentral:rRNA from 1 species
CAGCAGCCGCGGGAAAACAGAGGGUGCGAGCGUUAAUCGGAUUUACUGGGCGUAAAGCGUGCGUAGGCGGCUUCUUAAGUCGGAUGUGAAAUCCCUGAGCUUAACUUAGGAAUUGCAUUCGAUACUGGGAAGCUAGAGUAUGGGAGAGGAUGGUAGAAUUCCAGGUGUAGCGGUGAAAUGCGUAGAGAUCUGGAGGAAUACCGGUGGCGAAGGCGGCCCCCUGGACAAAGACUGACGCUCAGGUGCGAAAGCGUGGGGAGCAAACAGGAUUAGAUACCCCCGUAGUCCCUGUCUCUUAUAC